AUUGAACGCUGGCGGCAGGCCUAACACAUGCAAGUCGAACGAGUGGCGGACGGGUGAGUAAUGUCUGGGAAACUGCCCGAUGGAGGGGGAUAACUACUGGAAACGGUAGCUAAUACCGCAUACCAUCGGAUGUGCCCAGAUGGGAUUAGCUAGUAGGUGGGGUAACGGCUCACCUAGGCGAAGAUCCCUAGCUGGUCUGAGAGGAUGACCAGCCACACAGGAACUGAGACACGGUCCAGAAUCCUACGGGAGGCAGCAGUGGGGAAUAUUGCACAAUGGGCGCGAACGUGAUGCAGCCAUGCCGCGUGUAUGAAGAAGGCCGUCGGGUUGUAAAGUAAUUUCAGUCGGGAGGCGUUACCCGCAGACGAAGCACCGGCUAACUCCGUGCCAGCAGCCGCGGUAAUAC
rnacentral:rRNA from 1 species